rnacentral:piRNA from 1 species
AAACAUGUAAGAAUUCACACAGGAGAGA